rnacentral:lncRNA from 1 species
UUAGGGCUGAAAAUAGCUUUUCUCAAAUUUAAUCUUUGAGCUUGCAAAAAUCUUAUAAUUUUUUACUUCAAGAGAGCAUUUAUAGUUGUAAUUUAUCCUUAAAAAUAUCUUAGAGUUAGUUUAGAACCGUUGGAGUAUAUUUAAUGUGUAUUAAAUGCAUCAAAAAAUAGACUGAAAAUUAGUCGUUACGCAUGCUUGCAGAAAUGGAUGUCUCAUGGGGCAUCCC